GACGAACGCUGGCGGCGUGCUUAACACAUGCAAGUCGAACGGAAAGGCCCUGCUUUUGUGGGGUGCUCGAGUGGCGAACGGGUGAGUAACACGUGAGUAACCUGCCCUUGACUUUGGGAUAACUUCAGGAAACUGGGGCUAAUACCGGAUAGGAGCUCCUGCUGCAUGGUGGGGGUUGGAAAGUUUCGGCGGUUGGGGAUGUACUCGCGGCUUAUCAGCUUGUUGGGUGGGUAGUGGCUUACCAAGGCUUUGACGGGUAGCCGGCCUGAGCGGGUGGCCGGCCACAUUGGGACUGAGAUACGGCCCAGACUCCUCCGGGAGGCAGCAGUGGGGAAUAUUGCCUAAUGGGCGGAAGCCUGAUGCAGCAACGCCGCGUGCGGGAUGUCGGCCUUCGGGUUGGAAACCGCUUUCGCCUGUGACGAAGCGUGAGUGACGGUAAUGGGUAAAGAAGCACCGGCUAACUACGUG
rnacentral:rRNA from 1 species